rnacentral:lncRNA from 1 species
GAUGGGACCCCCAUCCAGUAGAUUUUGCCUCACUAUUUGAGACUUGUUUGGAGGUGGAUUCACCUUGGGAACCUCACUUUAAGAGAACUUCUUAGCAUUCCUAGGAAGCUCAUUAGUACUGGUUCUUUUCCUCCCUUCCAUCAAUGCUGGGUUGGGAGUUUCCUUGAUCGCUAUCGUCUCAAUCAGAGUCUAGUCUUCUAUAUGGUUAUGUGUGUGUGGAUUUGUGUGCAUGUGUGUGUUAUAUAAACUAAUUGAAUAUAGUAUUGAGUAUCUCUGAUUAUUGAAAUUAGAUAUUGAUAUUGGGACAUUGCAAUGUAGAAAGAGUAUUU